rnacentral:rRNA from 1 species
AUUGAACGCUGGCGGCAGGCCUAACACAUGCAAGUCGAGCGGAUGAAGGGAGCUUUCUCCUGGCUUCCGCGGCGGACGGGUGAGUGAUGCCUAGGAAUCUGCCUGGUCGUGGGGGAUAACGUCCGUUAACGGGCGCUAAUACCGCAUACGUCCUGAGGGUGAAAGUGGGGGAUCUUCGGACCUCACGCGAUCAGAUGAGCCUAGGUCGGAUUAGCUAGUUGGUGGGGUAAAGGCCUACCAAGGCGACGAUCCGUAACUGCUCUGAGAGGAUGAUCCGUCACACUGGAACUGAGACACGGUCCAGACUCCUACGGGAGGCAGCAGUGGGGAAUAUUGGGCAAUGGGCGAAAGCCUGAUCCAGCCAUGCCGCGUGUGUGAAGAAGGUCUUCGGAUUGUAAAGCACUUUAAGUUGGGAGGAAGGGCAGUAAGUUAAUACAUUGCUGUUUUGACGUUACCAACAGAAUAAGCACCGGCUAACUACGUG